rnacentral:rRNA from 1 species
ACUCGUGGGUGAGCACUGGCAGGGGCGCUUUCCAUGCAGUCGAAGCGAGAACCGGCCCUUCGGGGCCGGGGACAGCGGCGAACGGGUGAGUAACACGUGGGUAAUCUGCCCUCGGUUCUGGGAUAGCCCGGGGAAACCCGGAUUAAUACCGGAUAGCCUCUCGAGCCCUCGGGCUCGCGAGAAAAGGUAGCUUCGGCCUCCGACCGAGGAUGAGCCCGCGGCGGAUUAGCUUGUUGGUGGGGUAAUGGCUCACCAAGGCGACGAUCGGUAUCCGGCCUGAGAGGGCGGACGGACACACUGGGACUGAGACACGGCCCAGACUCCUACGGGAGGCAGCAGUGGGGAAUUGUUCGCAAUGGGCGCAAGCCUGACGACGCAACGCCGCGUGGAGGAUGAAGGUCUUCGGAUUGUAAACUCCUGUUGAUCGGGACGAACAACCAUCGGGAUAACACCCCGGAGGUCUGACGGUACCGAUUGAGG